rnacentral:rRNA from 1 species
UACGUAGGGGGCAAGCGUUGUCCGGAAUUAUUGGGCGUAAAGAGCGUGUAGGCGGCCAGAUAAGUCCGCUGUGAAAUCUCGAGGCUCAACUUCGAGCUGUCGGUGGAAACUAUCUGGCUUGAGUCCGGAAGAGGUGAGUGGAAUUCCCGGUGUAGCGGUGAAAUGCGUAGAGAUCGGGAGGAACACCAGAGGCGAAGGCGGCAACCUGGACAAGCACUGACACUCAGCUGCGAAAGCGUGGGGAGCAAACAGG